UACGAAGGGCCAGCGUCGUUCGGAUCGAUUGGCGUAAGGCGUCAACGUCAGCGGAGUCGUUAGUAGGGUAAGGUCAGCGAGCUCAACUCCAGAACUGCCUUUGAUACUGGCGGAUCGUCGAGUCCGGGAGAGGUGAGUGGAACUGCGAGUGUAGAGGUGAAAUUCGUAGAUAUUCGCAAGAACGACCAGUGGCGAAGGCGGCUCACUGGCCCGGUACUGGACGCUGAGGUGCGAAA
rnacentral:rRNA from 1 species